GACGAACGCUGGCGGCGUGCUUAACACAUACAAGUCGAACGGAAAGGCCCUGCUUUUGUGGGGUGCUCGAGUGGCGAACGGGUGAGUAACACGUGAGUAACCUGCCCUUGACUUUGGGAUAACUUCAGGAAACUGGGGCUAAUGCCGGAUAGGAGCUCCUGCUGCAUGGUGGGGGUUGGAAAGUUUCGGCGGUUGGGGAUGGACUCGCGGCUCAUCAGCUUGUUGGUGGGGUAGUGGCUUACCAAGGCUUUGACGGGUAGCCGGCCUGAGAGGGUGACCGGCCACAUUGGGACUGAGAUACGGCCCAGACUCCUACGGGAGGCAGCAGUGGGGAAUAUUGCACAAUGGGCGGAAGCCUGAUGCAGCAACGCCGCGUGCGGGAUGACGGCCUUCGGGUUGUAAACCGCUUUCGCCUGUGACGAAGCGUGAGUGACGGUAAUGGGUAAAGAAGCACCGGCUAACUACGUG
rnacentral:rRNA from 1 species